UUAAAUUGAAGAGUUUGAUCAUGGCUCAGAUUGAACGCUGGCGGCAGGCCUAACACAUGCAAGUCGAACGGUAACAGGAAACAGCUUGCUGUUUCGCUGACGAGUGGCGGACGGGUGAGUAAUGUCUGGGAAACUGCCUGAUGGAGGGGGAUAACUACUGGAAACGGUAGCUAAUACCGCAUAAUGUCGCAAGACUAAAGAGGGGGACCUUCGGGCCUCUUGCCAUCGGAUGUGCCCAGAUGGGAUUAGCUAGUAGGUGGGGUAACGGCUCACCUAGGCGACGAUCCCUAGCUGGUCUGAGAGGAUGACCAGCCACACUGGAACUGAGACACGGUCCAGACUCCUACGGGAGGCAGCAGUGGGGAAUAUUGCAC
rnacentral:rRNA from 1 species